CUGGACACGGACGCCCAGGAGAAGCCACGUGACCACGGAGACAGAGGUUGGAGUGAUGUGUCUCCAAGUCUAGCAGCGUUGAGGACGGCGAGGAGCCAGCAGAAGCCAGAAGAGCCACAUUUUCGGUCAUUUGCCUGGCAGCCCUGCGACAGGGACACCAGCUGCACGUGCUGGUUGUGGCUUGAUUUGUAGGGAGCGCGUGCGGCAGGGCUAAGGACUCUGUCCGAGCAGCUCUCCCUGCCCCGGGCUCACCCUGCGAGUCAGGAGGCAGCCGACGUCGCCCCAGAGGAGAUGGGAAGCUGGCAGCCUAACUUCCAGAACCGACACCUUCUAGCUGUUACAUAAUCCUUCAGACUCCUGGCCCCGGCUCUGCUCGAAGACUUUCAGAGGUCAACGCACAGCUUCUGCCAAGGUUUCCACGGACUCUGGUCGGAGGGAGGGACGCGGCUGAGAGACCCUGCACGUGGGAUCCGAGUCGGUGUGUAUUCCUUACAGCUAGUAGCCUGCGAUAGCCUGCUUGCUGGGAAGCCCACGUUGUUUGGAACAUGCCACAUGCUGCUGUCUGAGGGGAGUGCAUUUCCAUCUGUCAGGCACCCUGAGCCAGGAGGGUGUGCUGCUGGACCAGCGUCGCAAAAUGUCACUUAGGACGUGGUUAUUAGGGCUUUCUUUGGGUGCCGGCAAGAGAGGCUGGGGAUUUUAAGACUUACCCCACAUGAAGUGCUGCCUACAGUCCUGCUGGUACUCAUAAGCACCCUGAGGUGUCUCCUGUGGAUCUGUGGUCAGUGGCAGUGGCAUGGCCCCUCCACGCCAGCUGCAGUCCCCUGACGGAGCCCUUCCCCGAGAGAGGACUGCUCCACACCCGGUUACUGACGCCAUGAGUUGUAAAAAAAUGUGAAGCCAUGUUGAGUGUAUUUAUUAACAUAGAACAUAUGAUUAUUAGAGAAAAUUCAGAAAAUGCAGAAAAUCAUAUAAAGUAGCUGUGUAUUUCUGCUACUGCUGUUGAGAGAUAAUCAUCAUUGCCCAGUGUCCUUCCAGGCUUUUUGUCGUGCGUGUAUGAUUAACAAAAUUCAGGGUCACACUGUGCAAAUGUGUACAACUUGAUCACCUGAUUUUUUUAUUCGAGCAUGCAUCAUGAGACUUCCUGAGUGAUUUUUAAGGGACACAUCAUCUGCCUUCACAGAGACAGGGUGUGAAUAACACUGGGACAGGAGAGCUUCGUACACGAAUAUUUGUGCUCUGAGGAUCUAUCUUGGACGGGCUUCUGGAAGCAGCAUCCAUGUGUUGGCUAUAAAUGCUUUGAAAGUGUUUGUUACCUACUAGUUAACUGCCUGCCAAGUGUGGAAUGACCCCUACCCCACCCGUCAGAGAAACGUCUUUAAUGAAGUCAAUGGCUCCAUCCAACUGGCCAGUCUUGGGUCAGAAGGUUCAACAGACAAACUGUGUGUGAUCAGAGGGUGAAGGUGUGUGUCAGGCUUUUAUGCUGCUCUUAAUAAAUCAAAUCACAGAAACUUAGGGCGUGCAGGAAGAAUUCUUGAAGAGCAGUGAACUCUUUAGAUAAUUCCAACCCCCGGGAGAGACCCCACAGACAUGAUUGAGGAAGGGACAGCUUCCUAGGUCAGUGAGACAAUGGCCGUGUACUGUUUUCCAGUAUUGUCUGAGUGGGGGCCAGGUGGAGAAGGAACGUGUGGACAGGGAAGCAAAGCCAUGCCUGGCACGUGUCUACCUGGAGAGCAGGAUGGGAGCCUCUGUACCCGAGUGAGACACGGGAGACCAGAGCUGGACGGGUGCUGGGAAUCGUUAGUCAGAUGAGGAAAGUGAAGCCCAGAGGCAUCAGAGGACUCACCCAACAUCACCGGUCUGGAGAGCCGUCAGCCCCCAGCCCUGCCCUGUACAUACACAGAGCUGAAGGACAGUUAGAAACUUGGAACUUUGAUCAGAUGAACACACGGUUUUACCAGGGGAUUUACUUAUUUUAUUAAAUUGCAUGCUUUUUAAUUGAAUUUACUUGAUUCCUUGGCAUAAUGGAGACCCAGUUGAGGACGUGGUCAACACUGCAACCGGAAGUCCACUGUCUCUGGGCCAUGAUAUAUUUAAAAAAUGGCAUAAAUCCCAGCAAUGUAAUGGCCACAGCUGACUCAGAUGACACAGUGUGUGAAGGAUGCAGACUCUGGGGCCACCUGUCAUCUUCCAGCCAUGUCACCUUGGGCCAGUUACAUACCUGUCCUCAGUUUCUUCAUCUGUAAGAUGCAAAAAAACACACCUGUCCUUGUCGAGAUUAAACACGCUUCCGUGUAAUCUCAACGUCUGGUGCAUAUUAAGCACCGUUUGAUUGCCUGGGAUGAGAAACAGUUGUCGCGGUGGCACAACUUCAGAAAUAGCCCACUUGUGCGCGAUCUUGCUGGAGACCGUAUCAUAUUCUCUGUUCUCUGUGCACAUCCCGGAACAGAGAGUCAGUAAAUGUCUGUUGUGAACGGAUGAUCAAGGACAGAUGGGUAAGCCUUUCAGUUUUCCCAGCUAAGCCCCGCUCUGCAGGCUUCCCCUUGUGGUAGGGUCCCAUAGGGACACCGGUGCUGUUACAGUGUUGUCAUUUCAGGAGUCACCAUCCAC